UAAUGGAGGUAGCUUACAACAAAACACCCAAAACACAGGUGGGACUUCACUAAUGACAAGACUCUCCUCACACGCACACACACACACACACACGGCAUUAAACUACAUCUACAGUCCAUAAAGAUCAGGGAAAGUAUCAUUUCAUUUUGCUUUCCUUCACUUGGUUUAUUUUCUCCCAUUCAGUAUUCUACAUUACGCAGAAGUGGCGGCGAACUUUAACAGCGCCUCUUUCUCAAACUCCUCCAUCUCUUCUUCUAGAGAUUCAUUGUCAUGUUGUUCGUCUGCCAGAUCCUCCAGAAUAUCAGCCACAUCCUCGGCGAACUCGCUGAAAAGCAUUCUGUCAUGGGCAAAAAUGCCACCGCUGAAGAACUGGGCUGUGAGGCGUUUGAGAGACUCUUUGUUUUCUUGAGGGACCGCCUCUAGUUUGCUUGUGUAGACAUCCAGGAGUUCGCCUUCUCGUGAUGGUGCUGAUGUUUGGAAGAUUUUGCAUCCCAAGGUCUUUCCUUCUGUCGUCGUUCCCGCUCCUGCCUUCUUUCAUCCUUAUUAAGGUCCCACUCUUCUUUGUACUUCAUGAGAUGCUCUUUCCGCUUGUCUUUGCCAUGUUUCCACUCUUUCCCUUUC
rnacentral:lncRNA from 1 species